UAUUCUGCCCAAUGGGGAAGGAUGAGAAGCUUCGACUAAGGUUCGACUCGAGCGUCAGCGAGAGCACGUUGCCGCAGGCAACGGCCCGAAGGGCGAGGCGCUUUAGCGCCGAGUAAUCCUUCCCCCACCACCA
rnacentral:sRNA from 2 species